rnacentral:Y_RNA from 1 species
GGCUGGUCCAAAGGUAGUAAGUUAUCUCAAUUGAUUGUUCACAAUCUCUUACGGAUUGAACUCCUUAUUCUACUCCCUUCCCCCUUUUCACUACUGCACUUGACUAAUCUUUG